rnacentral:rRNA from 1 species
CACCUCUAGCAUUACUAGUAUUAGAGGCACUGCCUGCCCAGUGACAUUAGUUAAACGGCCGCGGUAUCCUGACCGUGCAAAGGUAGCAUAAUCAUUUGUUCUUUAAAUAGGGACUUGUAUGAACGGCCACACGAGGGUUCUACUGUCUCUUGCUUCCAAUCAGUGAAAUUGACCUCCCCGUGCAGAGGCGGGGAUACACAAAUAAGACGAGAAGACCCUAUGGAGCUUUAAUUAACUAACUCAAAGAAAAUAUAAAUAACCGCCAAGGGAUAAUAAUCUUCUACCUGAGUUAGCAAUUUCGGUUGGGGUGACCUCGGAGGACAGAAAAACCUCCGAGUGACUAAAAUCUAGACUUACCAGUCAAAAUGUAGUGUCACUUAUUGAUCCAAAAUAUUUGAUCAACGGAACAAGUUACCCUAGGGAUAACAGCGCAAUCCUAUUCAAGAGUUCAUAUCGACAAUAGGGUUUACGACCUCGAUGUUGGAUCAGGACACCCCAAUGGUGCAGCCGCUAUUAAAGGUUCGUUUGUUCAACGAUUAAAGUCCU